UACGUAGGGUGCAAGCGUUAAUCGGAAUUACUGGGCGUAAAGCGUGCGCAGGCGGUCAUGCAAGACAGAUGUGAAAUCCCCGGGCUCAACCUGGGAACUGCAUUUGUGACUGCAUGGCUGGAGUGCGGCAGAGGGGGAUGGAAUUCCGCGUGUAGCAGUGAAAUGCGUAGAUAUGCGGAGGAACACCGAUGGCGAAGGCAAUCCCCUGGACCUGUACUGACGCUCAUGCACGAAAGCGUGGGGAGCAAACAGG
rnacentral:rRNA from 1 species